GAUAACCCCGGGAUACUGGGGAUAAUUCCGGAUAACGCAUAUGUGCUGGAAUGCUUUAUGCGUAAAAUGGAUUCGUCCGCCCAAGGAUGGGUCUGCGGCCUAUCAGGUAGUAGUGGGUGUAAUGUACCUACUAGCCGACAACGGGUACGGGUUGUGAGAGCAAGAGCCCGGAGAUGGAUUCUGAGACAUGAAUCCAGGCCCUACGGGGCGCAGCAGGCGCGAAAACUUUACAAUGCGGGAAACCGUGAUAAGGGGACACCGAGUGUCAGCAUCAUAUGCUGGCUGUCCAGGUGUGUAAAAUACACCCGUUAGCAAGGGCCGGGCAAGACCGGUGCCAGCCGCCGCGGUAACACCGGCGGCCCGAGUGGUGAUCGUGAUUAUUGGGUCUAAAGGGUCCGUAGCCGGUUUGGUCAGUCCUCCGGGAAAUCUGAUAGCUCAACUAUUAGGCUAUCGGGGGAUACUACCAGACUUGGAACCGGGAGAGGUAAGAGGUACUACAGGGGUAGGAGUGAAAUCUUGUAAUCCCUGUGGGACCACCUGUGGCGAAGGCGUCUUACCAGAACGGGUUCGACGGUGAGGGACGAAAGCUGGGGGCACGAACCGGAUUAGAUACCCGGGUAGUCCCAGCCGUAAACGAUGCUCGCUAGGUGUCAGGCAUGGCGCGACCGUGUCUGGUGCCGCAGGGAAGCCGUGAAGCGAGCCACCUGGAAG
rnacentral:rRNA from 1 species